rnacentral:lncRNA from 1 species
CGCCGGAGCAAUGGUUGGAGAACGUGGAACUAUGCUGGAGGACACCCGAGUACUCUUAAGCAAUCCCUGUGGACCUUAUCAGCAGCCAAUUUGGGUGCCGUUGAGACAUCUGAAUCCUUAUCAUGAGCCAGAUGCCGAAGAAGAGAUUCUGGGAGGAACCUGAGGAUCCCCCAGUUGCAGCCAUGUCAAGACUGAUGCUGAGGAGGACCCCAACUGUCACGAGCAACACCCGUCGAACACAGCCACCUACCUGUGGACAGAUCACGA